GCCUUGGCUUCAUUCAGAAUCAAAUGACAUUAUUUCCUCUUACCCAAUAUUAGUCAUAUGCUCAUCCCCUUUUUUUAUAGUAGAUGAACAGCUCUGUUUGGAUCUCCCUGAACUUCAAAAAGACCUUUGUAUGCAGAGCUGUUGCAGAGAGGCAAAUGAUUAUGGGAUCAUUUAUUUAUAUUAUUAUGGCACAAUAGAAGUCACUUUGGUCCUUGAAUGUGUUCCAGUGACUCAAGAUAUUUUUUCCGAUGUUUUCUGACCUCUGCUCCUUUUCAAAUUCUCCCAUCUCUGAUAAAUUAGCUUCAAAACCACAGAAAAACCACAGCUGUGUUUGUUCAUCAGGGGCAUGAAGAAUGAAAGUAACUGUUUUCAUGAGGAAUCUUCAAAGGAGAGAAGCAGGCAACGUGGCUCCCAGGAAAAUGGCUUGAACAGAACCCAUGAGAGGAAGGCUGUCAGUUCAUGGAAGGGUUAUUCAUGAUAAUUUAUCAUUGAGGUCUGGCAGCCAAGAUGGCCGAAUAGGAACAGCUCUGGUCUAC
rnacentral:lncRNA from 10 species